CCGCCAGGGGAAGCUGGGUUCAUAUUUUCCAGGUCUCUCCCCACACCUCCCCUCCCCUCGUAGGAGGGCCAGCACCGAGCUGCUGCUGGGAGCAGGGGGGCUGUAAGCGGAGGAGGAGAUGCGGUGCUCGGAGCCCCUGGAGCAGGGACUGAGUAACGUUGUUGACCUGCAUCAAGCUCUGCCAAGACGGUGGUGGCAGCACGACAGCAGACUCCAUGACCCCAAAAUCACCGGAUUUUAAGAUGUUUCUGAAAACAUCUGCUCCAGGUGGGAGCUAGCUAUUCAGCUCCACAUCCACCCACCUCCUUCGGCAGCACGAGCUGCGUGCUGCUGUCACUCCUUGGGGCUCGGUGUGCACAGGUCUGCGGCAGCAAUGGACAGUGAGAGCGUGCCCCUGCCUCCAGCUCUGCCAGCACAGCCCGGGGACUGCUCGGAGCCGGACACCGUGUGAGCAGCCAACGCGGGGCAGCGAGGCAUCCUGUUUAUAUCCAAGACUGGAGGGAGGUUGAGCACGGGAUCUGCUUGCUCCAGAUUCCUAGAGGAUGUGAUCAUAGAAGCGAUCGUCCAGUUCAGUUACAGACAACCUGUCCUGAAUGUGUCACUUUGCUUGGUGAACUUUUUUCCUUACGUUUAGUAUUUUCAUUAAAUAUUAUCUCCUAUAUAGAUGUAUUAAUUCUACAUUUCAUUGCAUUUUAAUGCCAGCUUCUGCUCAAGAACAAACUCAUGGAGAACUGUGGACUUUUCACUUGAAUAAAAAAUGCUUCUUCCCCA